rnacentral:rRNA from 1 species
UUGGCCUUUCGUAAAUUAAAUGAUAGGUAAUUCCUGCCCAGUGAMUUUAAAGUUCAACGGCCGCGGUAUCCUAACCGUGCAAAGGUAGCACAAUCACUUGCCCAUUAAUUGUGGUCUAGAAUGAAAGGACUAACGAAAUAGAUACUGUCUCUUUAAGUAAAAUAAAAAUUAAACUCUAACUGAAGAGUGUUAGAUAAUGUCGAAGGACAAGAAGACCCUAUAGAGCUUUAUUUAACAAAAGACUCUUAUAUAAUUCGGUUGGGGCGACCAGGGAAGUAUUAAAUCAUCCCUUUCUAAUAGAUAAAUUAAUCCUUUUCWUGACCCUUAAAUAAGAUCACAAAACCAAGCUACCUUAGGGAUUACAGGCUUAUCCCAUUAAAGAGUCAUAUAAAGAUGGUUUGUUCAACCACUAACACCCUACAUGAGCUGAGUUCAGACCGGCGCAAGCCAGGUUAUUUUCUAUCCUCGACUAAAAUUUAGUCUAUUUGCUGUACGAAAGGRCCUAAAUAUGAAUAAACUUUAUAACUUGAGAAAUCAUAUAAUAAUAAGAUUAAUAAAUUAAACACUUAAACUAUUAAUAAGUUGGCAGAAUAGUGCCMCUGACUUAGAAUAAGUUUAUGGGUAAUACCCACUUAUUAUGUAACUUAGUUUAAUUAGAACAGUCAAUUUGCACUUGGAAAGUGAGGAAACUCAAUAGCGGUUUGAUGUUUAGGAAACAUUGGAUUUKGAAUGAUAAAAUUGUGAAAUCAUCUUCA